rnacentral:rRNA from 1 species
ACCUAACAGCUAGCUUAAACCUAACUUUGAACACAAAAAUAUUUAUAAACCGACACAUCCUUAAUAUUUUAACCAAACCAUUUUUCCACCCUAGUACAGGCGAUAGAAAGGGUAUCGACUUAAAGCUAUAGAAAAAGUACCGCAAGGGAAAGCUGAAAGAGAAGUGAAAAAAUCCAGUAAAGUUAAAAAAAGCAGAGACUUAACCUCGUACCUUUUGCAUCAUGCAUUAACAAGAACAAAUUAAGCAAAAAGAUUUCUAGUUUAAUUUCCCGAAAUUAAGUGAGCUACUCCGAGACAGCCUAAAAACAGGGCAAACACAUCUCUGUGGCAAAAGAGUGUGAAGAGCUCCGAGUAGAGGUGAUAAACCUACCGAACUUAAUUAUAGCUGGUUGCCUAAAAAACGAAUAGAAGUUCGGCCUUUACUAUUCUUAAAUUAAACGUGAAAUUUCUACACAAAAUUAAAGAAAAAUAAAGAGUUAUUCAUAAGAGGUACAGCUCUUAUGAAAUAAGAAACAACUUUGCAGGGAGGAUAAAGAUCAUAUAAAAACAAGGCUAAUGUCUCAGUGGGCCUAAAAGCAGCCACCCGCAAAAAAGCGUUAAAGCUUAAACAUUAAUAUUUCCUAUGAUACCGAUAACUAAAUCUUACUCCCCCAAACCUUAUUAGGCUAUUCCAUACUUUAUGGAAGAAAUAAUGUUAAUAUGAGUAAUAAGAGAAUAAUCUCUCCCGGCACAAGCGUAUUUCGGAACGGAAUAUCCACCGAAAAUUAACGUACCCAAUAAAAGAGGGAAAUGAAGCAAAAAUAGACAACUAGAAGAUACUUCUAAACCUUAACGUUAACCCUACACUGGAGUGCAAACAAGGAAAGACUAAAAGAAAAAGAAGGAACUCGGCAAACAUUAAAUAAAGCCCCGCCUGUUUACCAAAAACAUCACCUCUUGAAAACUAAAUAUAAGAGGCCCCGCCUGCCCUGUGACUAACGUUUAACGGCCGCGGUAUUCUGACCGUGCAAAGGUAGCGCAAUCAAUUGUCUUUUAAAUGAAGACCCGUAUGAAUGGCAUAACGAGGGCUUAACUGUCUCCUUUUUCUGGUCAAUGAAAUUGAUCUCCCCGUGCAGAAGCGGGGAUAAUAACAUAAGACGAGAAGACCCUAUGGAGCUUAAAACGCAAGAAUAGACCAGACCCAUAAACUUAAAUUAACAAAACAAACCCGCUGGCCCCUAUUCCAGUGUUUUUGGUUGGGGUGACCACGGGGUAAGAUAAAACCCCCGCGCAGAACGAAAAUACAAUUUUCUUACUUGAGGGCGACAGCCCUAAAAAUCAGAACCUCUGACUAUCCGAUCCGGCUAAGCCGAUUAACGAACCGAGUUACCCUAGGGAUAACAGCGCAAUCCUCUUUUAGAGCCCAUAUCGACAAGAGGGUUUACGACCUCGAUGUUGGACCAGGACAUCCUAAUGGUGUAGCCGCUAUUAAGGGUUCGUUUGUUCAACGAUUAAAGUCCUACGUGAUCUGAGUUCAGACCGGAGUAAUCCAGGUCAGUUUCUAUCUAUGAAAUGUUCUUCUCUAGUACGAAAGGACCGAGAAGAAAAGGCCAAUGCUUAAAGUAAGCCCUCCCCUUAUUCAAUGAAGACAACUAAAUUGAAUAAUAGGACAUGCGCUUACUUUAGGCUAGAUAAUUUCUU